GUUACGCGGCCGUCGGCCCCCUCGGGCUUUCCAGUUGUGCAGCUACACGUUGCCAGGGCCCGGAGGAACUCUGAUGCGUCUCUCCGCUUGUCCCUCCUUUACACCUGUGGCCGGCGCCGUGGACAUCCAUCCCAUCCGCGGACGGAAUAGAGUUUGCAUGAGCAGACUCAUUUAUUUCACGCGUCCUAAAAGAAUCAGUGUACGUGUUUGUAUUAAGUUAAGCUGCCUUUGUAAGGAUGCUUCGGUUGAAAGCGCUGUGGCUGUCGUGUAGCAGGAAGCUCCAUGGUGAAAUGUUAGUCAGUUACGACGCUGUGGUACAUUAGAGGGUUAUUCUUUGGGAUUCCUUUUCGUCUGUUGCAUUAUAUUAACUAAACUGAGCAUUUGUUGAGUUGGAGAGGAUAAAUAAAAUGUUCACUUAUAUAUGCUA